CCUACGGGCGGCAGCAGUGGGGAAUAUUGGGCAAUGGGCGCAAGCCUGACCCAGCAACGCCGCGUGAGGGAAGAAGGCUUUCGGGUUUUAAACUUCUUUUAAGAGGGAAGAGCAGAAGACGGUACCUCUUGAAUAAGCCACUGCUAACUACGUGCCAGCAGCCGCGGUAAUACGUAGGUGGCAAGCGUUUUCCGGAUUUACUGGGUGUAAAGGGCGUGUAGCCGGGUUGACAAGUCAGAUGUGAAAUUCCAGGGCGUAACCCCGGACCUGGAGUUGAAACUGGUGGUCUUGAGUAUCGGAGAGGCAGGCGGAAUGCCUAGUGUAGCGGUGAAAUGCGUAGAUAUUAGGAGGAACACCAGUGGCGAAGGCGGCCUGCUGGACGACAACUGACGGUGAGGCGCGAAAGCGUGGGGAGCAAACAGGAUUAGAUACCCUUGUAGUC
rnacentral:rRNA from 1 species